GUGGGGAAUUUUGGACAAUGGGCGCAAGCCUGAUCCAGCAAUGCCGCGUGCAGGAAGAAGGCCUUCGGGUUGUAAACUGCCUUUGUACGGAACGAAACGGUCCUGGUUAAUACCCGGGGGUCAUGACGGUACCGUAAGAAUAAGCACCGGCUAACUACGUGCCAGCAGCCGCGGUAAUACGUAGGGUGCGAGCGUUAAUCGGAAUUACUGGGCGUAAAGCGUGCGCAGGCGGUGAUGUAAGACAGUUGUGAAAUCCCCGGGCUCAACCUGGGAACUGCAUCUGUGACUGCAUUGCUGGAGUGCGGCAGAGGGGGAUGGAAUUCCGCGUGUAGCAGUGAAAUGCGUAGAUAUGCGGAGGAACACCGAUGGCGAAGGCAAUCCCCUGGGCCUGCACUGACGCUCAUGCACGAAAGCGUGGGGAGCAAACAGGAUUAGAUACCCGUGUAGUCC
rnacentral:rRNA from 1 species